CGAAAGAAAAUAAAACCAGAAAGAAACCCAACAGUUUCCUUGUAUGCCAGCCAUAAAAUCCUCCAAAUCUAAUGCAUUUUCCCCGUUUGACCCAACCGUAUGAAGAAUUUUCAGACAGUCGCUGCUCCUAAUCCAAAAUGCAGCAAAUCCCAACACCUCCACUCAUCUAGCAGUACACUGAAAGCUCAUCGCCUCCUCCGCCACCAAACGCAUAACCACCGAAGGCCCCUCCUCUACCCAUUGCAUGUCACGUCUCUGAAGAAACCUCUCCUUGGCAAGCAGGUGAGCCACCCUAUUCCCACCCCUUUUGGUGUGUUGAAAUUUAAAACGCUCAAAAUGCACAAUCAGUCUAUGAGCUUCCCAUAUAUACACACGUCUCUGAUCUAUCCUCUGUUUGGGCUUUUAACUUGGAAAUAAUCCCCAUGGAAUCACCCUCAAAGAUAACCUGGCGAAACCCCAUAUCUUGCGUGAAUCGAAUAGCCUAAAUCGCAGCUAAGGCCUCCGAUGCUUCCGCCGACGGUCACUGUAAAAUCCCCCAUCAAAAUUAACUUUUACCCAUUGGGACUCUGGCGGACACCACUGGACAAGGGCCUCGUGCACAGUUUCCAGACAAAAUAGGUGGGACAACCAGGGCCUGAUAUCAGCUCCAUUCGUUUGUGCAUCCCAUCUUAGCCCCAACUAUUCCCAAACUUGAAUCGCAUAUGGAGAAUCACGACAUACAUGGACCGUAGUUUCAGCUUCCAAUCCACAAUAGUAGCACGCAGAAUCAGGAAGUAGUCAUCGGUUAUGAAGAUUUUUCCUUGUAGGCACAUAGUUAUGAAUUAGCCUCCAAAUUGUAAUUUUCAUUUUAUCCGGGGCUUUUGAUCCCCAAAUGUAUUUGUAUAAAUCCCUCACAUAAGGUUCAAUAUUCCUGUAACGGUCAUUACCCGACCCAGAAAAACCUCGUAGCAAUAAACGAUAUCCACUACGGACUGUAUACUCACCAGAUUUAUCAAGGCACCAUCGUAGCUCAUCAGCUAGUCCAUCAGGCAACAGCGGGAUAC